AUGGGGGGCGGCAGGAAGCGCGGGCGCUCGCAGCGUCGUCACUUCAAGCAGGAGCGCGAGAACGUCUGGAAGGACAACCCCAGGCGCCCUCCCGCCUCCGCCGGCGAAGGAGGCGAGGGGAACGGCUGGCAGCCGUUCGCCACGGAGAACCUGGCCUUCGAGGCCUACUACAAGGGGCAGCAAAUUGUUCCUGAGGAAGAGUGGGAUGCCUUCAUGAGCAUGCUCCGGAAGCCAUUGCCAGCCGCUUUUAGGAUUAAUGCGAGCUCUCAGUUUUGUCAAGACAUUUGUUCACAAUUAGAAAAUGACUUCAGGAAGUCGUUAGAGACUGAGGUCAAUGAUGACCAUGAAAAAGAGGCUAUUCGGCCUUUGGCUUGGUACCCUGGCAAUCUUGCAUGGCAUUUGAACUUCUCUCGGAUGCAACUGAGGAGAAACCAGGCGCUUGAGAGUUUCCAUGAAUUCUUGAAGCAAGAGAAUGAAGUUGGUAAUAUUACCAGGCAAGAGGCUGUCAGCAUGGUCCCACCUUUGUUUCUGAAUGUGCAACCUGACCAUCAUAUUCUUGACAUGUGUGCCGCUCCAGGGUCUAAAACUUUCCAGUUACUUGAGAUGAUCCACCAGUCAACAAAGCCUGGAGUGCUUCCAACUGCCAUGGUGGUAGCUAAUGAUGUUGACGUGCAAAGAUGCAACCUUCUUAUUCAUCAGACGAAGAGAAUGUGCACAGCCAACCUGAUAGUGACAAAUCAUGAAGCCCAAAAUUUUCCUGGCUGUAGUCUUGCAAAGUUCUGUCCAGAAGCAUACAUAGACGAGUCCAAGCCGCAGAGGUUGGAAUUUGAUCGUAUUCUGUGUGAUGUGCCAUGUAGUGGUGAUGGAACUGUCCGUAAGGCUCCUGAUAUGUGGAGAACAUGGAAUAUCGGCAUGGGAAAUGGACUUCAUCGUCUCCAAGUGGAAAUAGCAAUGCGCGGCAUUGCACUGCUUAAAGUGGGCGGAAGGAUGGUCUACUCAACAUGCUCAAUGAAUCCUGUUGAAAAUGAAGCUGUUGUUGGUGAGAUUCUGCGGAGAUGUGGGGAUUCUGUUGAACUCCUUGAUGUUUCUAAUGAGCUACCUGAAUUGAUCCGCCGUCCUGGACUUAGCACUUGGAAGGUACGGGAUAGAGCGUCUUGGUUGGGCAGUCAUAAAGAUGUACUUCACUACAGGAAGAAUGCAAUAUUGCCAAGUAUGUUCCCUUCGGGUAAAGCUACCACGGACAGCUGUACGGCGGGUGGCAGUGUUGAGGUCAACAUAGAUGCAGUCGAUGCAGAUAUGAGUGAGUCAGGGGGUAUGGUAGAGGGAAAACAAGAAACGAAGAUAGCGACUGAUGACAGCAAUAACGGUGACAAUGGCAAGACUGAAGAGAUAGAACAAGAUGAAUCUGAGUCUGUUAAAGUUUCAAGGGGCUCAAAUGAAAAAACAGAUUCAACCUCCAUCGUUACAGAGCAUUCAAAUUUACCACUGCAUCGUUGCAUGAGAAUUAUUCCUCAUGACCAAAACAGUGGAGCAUUUUUUAUAGCAGUCCUUCAGAAACUCUCUCCGCUGAAUGAGAGUCCGGUGGUAGAAGUGAUGAAAGGUGAGCACAGUACCUCGAAAGACAAGGCUUUGAAAUGUUCUAAUGGUCAGGGAUCAGAUAAGGUGCCGGCUGAAGAAAUUUCAGUUCAGCAGCCAGGGGUUGAUGAUAGCCAUGUUCUCGUUGAGCAACAAAACAGAGACAUGGAUGCUGAAAUUUCAAAAGAUAGAAGCUCUGAGGAAGCUAAGGUGAUUGCUGGUGAGGUGCAAAAUGAUCAAGCGACAAGGAGAGAUAAGAGAAAGACCCAGAACCAAGGCAGAUGGAGAGGGGUUGAUCCUGUGAUAUUUUUCAAAGACGAAGCGACAAUCAGAAGCAUAGUAUCUUUCUACGGCAUCAAGGAUUCAUUUACCCUUGAAGGCCAUCUUGUGACUAGGAACCCUGAUACUAAUCAUGUCAAAAGAAUAUACUAUGUCUCAAAAUCAGUUACAGAAGUUUUGGACCUCAAUGUGAAAGUUGGCGAGCGGCUGAAAAUUACCUCACUUGGCUUAAAGAUAUUUGAAAGGCAGUCGUCAAAGGAGGGUUCGCCAUGCACAUUUAGGCUAUCAUCCGAGGGAUUGCCUCUGCUGCUUCCUUACAUCACCAAACAGAUUCUAUAUGCAUCUGCAAUAGACUUUCAGCACCUCUUACAGUACAGAAUCAUUAAAUUCCCUGAUUUUGUGGAUGCAAAAUUCGGUGAGCAAGCUUCAGCUUUGCUACAAGGUUGCUGUGUCGUAAUAUUGCGUGAAGGGCAUGAGGAUCUAGAGUCCAUAGGCAUGGAUCCCUCUGCAAUCGCCGUUGUUUGUUGGAAAGGAAAGACCAAUCUGUGCGUCAUGGUCACCCCCAUGGAUGGGAGGGAGCUGCUUGACAGGAUCUCGUUUCGUUUCGGGCUCAAAAUCCCAAAAGUUGAUGAUGGGAAGCCUGACCUGAAGAGUGACGAUGGAUCGGAUGAGCAGCCUGAUGGUGGCGCCGAGACAGUUGAUCCAGAUUGUAUGCCUGAGAGCAAAGCAGCAGAAGACAUGGAUAUCUCAGAUGUCAAGGACGCCGAGUAG
rnacentral:rRNA from 1 species